rnacentral:lncRNA from 1 species
AGAUCAUUCCCCUGCAAUUUCACUGCUCAAUUCACUGUCAUUUAGGAGUUAAAUCACGUUGUUUCUGUUUAUGCAGCCCUAGCCACACCUCCCCUGGCUUUGAUUGACAGAGCCUACAUGGAAACAAAAACUGGUUUCACUUUCAAACAGAUGUAAUUUACCUUAAAUAAUUGUAUCUCAAUCUCUAAAUUGAACUUUAAUCACAUACAGGAGGCUCUUGCAGGGUCUAGCAAGCCAUU